CCCCCCCAAACCAAACAAACCCCACAACAUUUGACAAUGCAAAGUUCUCUGUUCUAGCAUCUGAUUCUACAGCUGGUCCAACCACACCAACCACUACGCAAACCACGCCAGACGAGAAACCGCCGACUUUCUGGAUUAUAAUUGCGAUAGUGGUUUUCUGCAUUCUGAGUCUGAUUGCAGCACUAUGUGUAUAUCUGGCACUGAGGCGAAAAAAACAGAAAGACGAAGAAAAUCCACAGACGCCAUACA